rnacentral:rRNA from 1 species
GGCUCUCUUAGCAACCUGUUUUAGAUUUAUAAAACCCACCAGUUAAGUUCAAUUAAACAAAAUAUAAAACUUUCAACAACGGAUCUCUUGGUUCUCGCAUCGAUGAAGAACGCAGCGAAAUGCGAUACGUAGUAUGACUUGCAGACGUGAAUCAUCGAAUCUUUGAACGCACAUUGCGCCUUGGGGCAUUCUCCAAGGCAUGCCUGUUUGAGCGUGAUUUCUUCUCACCGCCCAGGUGGUUUUGCAUCCGCUAAAUAACAUAUCCGCAGCGAAGUCUACGCUUUCACUGCACCAUGCUAUUUCCUCAAAUCAGGUAGGACUACCCGCUGAACUUAAGCAUAUCAAUAAGCGGAGGAAA